rnacentral:rRNA from 1 species
UACAGAGGGGGCAAGCGUUGUUCGGAAUUACUGGGCGUAAAGGGCGCGUAGGCGGCCAACUAAGUCGGACGUGAAAUCCCCAGGCUCAACCUGGGAACUGCGUCCGAUACUGGAUGGCUUGAAUCCGGGAGAGGGAUGCAGAAUUCCAGGUGUAGCGGUGAAAUGCGUAGAUAUCGGGAGGAACACCAGUGGCGAAGGCGGCUAUCUGGGCUUUAACUGACGCUGAGGCGCGAAGGCUAGGGGAGCAAACAGG